GAUGAACGCUGGCGGCGUGCCUAAUACAUGCAAGUAGAACGCUGAAGGAGGAGCUUGCUCUUCUGGAUGAGUUGCGAACGGGUGAGUAACGCGUAGGUAACCUGCCUGGUAGCGGGGGAUAACUAUUGGAAACGAUAGCUAAUACCGCAUGACAACAGUUAUUGCAUGAUAACUGUUUAAAAGGGGCAACUGCUCCACUACCAGAUGGACCUGCGUUGUAUUAGCUAGUUGGUGAGGUAACGGCUCACCAAGGCGACGAUACAUAGCGGACCUGAGAGGGGGAUCGGCCCCACUGGGACUGAGACACGGCCCAGACUCCUACGGGAGGCAGCAGUAGGGAAUCUUCGGCAAUGGACGGAAGUCUGACCGAGCAACGCCGCGUGAGUGAAGAAGGUUUUCGGAUCGUAAAGCUCUGUUGUAAGAGAAGAACGAGUGUGAGAGUGGAAAGUUCACACUGUGACGGUAUCUUACCAGAAAGGGGCGGCUAACUACGUG
rnacentral:rRNA from 1 species